GGUGGCGACCGGCGCACGGGUGCGUAACGCGUAUGCAACCUGCCCCCCAUCAGGGGAAUAGCCCGCCGAAAGGCGGAUUAAUGCCCCAUAGGCCCAGGGCGCCGCAUGGCGCUAUGGGUAAAGCUCCGGCGGAUGGGGAUGGGCAUGCGUGCCAUUAGCUAGUUGGGGCGGUAACGGCGCACCAAGGCGACGAUGGCUAGGGGGUCUGAGACGGAUGGUCCCCCCACACUGGUACUGAGACACGGACCAGACUCCUACGGGAGGCAGCAGUGAGGAAUAUUGGUCAAUGGGCGGAAGCCUGAAAACCCAGCCAUGCCGCGUGCAGGAUGACGGCCCUACGGGUUGUAAACUGCUUUUCCCCGGGAAGAAUAAGCCCCUCGUGAGGGGUGGUGCCGGUACCGGGGGAAUAAGGAUCGGCUAACUCCGUGCCAGCCGCGGC
rnacentral:rRNA from 1 species